GUUGGAGUAACUUCGAGCUCAGGUUUGCAUAUUAAUUUGUCAAAGAGUUACCUAAUAGGAAUUCAUGUGGAGGAGUCCUUUUUGCAGGCUGCAUCAACUUUCCUGUGUUGUAGGCUAGGUAAAUUCCUAUUUUCAUUUCUUGGUAUUCCACUUGGUUGUAAUCAUAGGCAUAAGCACGUUUGGAAUUCUGUGAUAGCUAAGAUGCAAAAUAGAAUGUCUUUGUGGAAAAGUCGGUUUCAAUCUAUCGGUGAUAGAAUCACUCUUAUCAAUGUGGUCUUCAACGCGAUUCUAAUCUACUUUCUGUCUUUCUAUAAGAUC